rnacentral:rRNA from 1 species
GAUGAACGCUAGCUACAGGCUUAACACAUGCAAGUCGCGGGGCAGCAUGGGGGUUGCUUGCAACCCCUGAUGGCGACCGGCGCACGGGUGAGUAACGCGUAUCCAACCUGCCCUUCACCACGGGAUAACCCGGCGAAAGUCGGACUAAUACCGUAUGUUGUCCAUUGACGGCAUCCGAUUUGGACGAAAGGCUUGGCGGUGGAAGGAUGGGGAUGCGUCCGAUUAGCUUGACGACGGGGUAACGGCCCACCGUGGCUACGAUCGGUAGGGGUUCUGAGAGGAAGGUCCCCCACACUGGAACUGAGACACGGUCCAGACUCCUACGGGAGGCAGCAGUGAGGAAUAUUGGUCAAUGGGCGUAAGCCUGAACCAGCCAAGUAGCGUGCAGGAUGACGGCCCUAUGGGUUGUAAACUGCUUUUAUGCGGGGAUAAAGUGGCCCACGUGUGGGCUUUUGCAGGUACCGCAUGAAUAAGGACCGGCUAAUUCCGUG